rnacentral:rRNA from 1 species
UACGUAGGGGGCAAGCGUUGUCCGGAUUUAUUGGGCGUAAAGAGCUCGUAGGUGGUUUGGUAAGUCGGAUGUGAAAUCUCCAGGCUCAACCUGGAGGGGUCAUUCGAUACUGCCAUGACUAGAGGUCGGUAGGGGAGUGUGGAAUUCCUGGUGGAGCGGUGAAAUGCGCAGAUAUCAGGAGGAACACCAGUGGCGAAGGCGGGUCUCUGGACAGUUCCUGACGCUGAGGCACGAAGGUCAGGGGAGCAAACGGG